rnacentral:tRNA from 1 species
ACCCGGCUGGCUCAGUUGGUGGAGCGUGUGACUCCUGCUCUCAUAGUCGAGAGUUCGAGCCCCAUGUUGGGUG